rnacentral:rRNA from 1 species
ACGCUCGACACCUACGGGAGGCAGCAGUGGGGAAUAUUGCACAAUGGGGGAAACCCUGAUGCAGCGACGCCGCGUGAGCGAAGAAGUAUCUCGGUAUGUAAAGCUCUAUCAGCAGGGAAGAAGAUGACGGUACCUGACUAAGAAGCACCGGCUAAAUACGUGCCAGCAGCUGCGGUAAUCUGAGGCGGGCUGGCAAGGC